rnacentral:tRNA from 1 species
AGUCCAGUAGCUCAGUGGUUAGAGCAUCUGGUUUACACCCAGAGGGUCGGGGGUUCAAAUCCCUCCUGGAUUA